rnacentral:rRNA from 1 species
GACAGAGGUGCCAAGCGUUAGGCGGAAUCACUGGGCUUAAAGCGUGUGUAGGCGGAUUCCUAAGUACCUUGUGAAAUCCCACGGCUCAACCGUGGAACUGCUGGGUAUACUGGGUGUCUUGAGCCAACUAGGGGCAGCCGGAACAAAUGGUGGAGCGGUGAAAUGCGUAGAUAUCAUUUGGAACGCCAAUGGUGAAAACAGGCUGCUGGGGUUGUGCUGACGCUGAGACACGAAAGCCAGGGGAG